rnacentral:misc_RNA from 1 species
GAACUGCGAUAAGUAAUGUGAAUUGCAGAAUUCAGUGAAUCAUCGAGUCUUUGAACGCACAUUGCACCCCCUGGCAUUCCGGGGGGCAUGCCUGUCCGAGCGUCAUUGCUGCCCUUCAAGCCCGGCUUGUGUGUUGGGUCGUCGUCCCCUCCGGGGGACGGGCCCGAAAGGCAGCGGCGGCACCGCGUCCGGUCCUCGAGCGUAUGGGGCUUUGUCACCCGCUCGAUAAGGACCGGCCGGGCGCCAGCCGGCGUCUCCAACCUUUUUUUCUCAGGUUGACCUCGGAUCAGGUAGGGAUACCCGCUGAACUUAAGC